rnacentral:rRNA from 1 species
AACGAACGCUGGCGGCAGGCUUAACACAUGCAAGUCGAACGCCCCGCAAGGGGAGUGGCAGACGGGUGAGUAACGCGUGGGAACAUACCCUUUUCUACGGAAUAGCUCUGGGAAACUGGAAUUAAUACCGUAUACGCCCUACGGGGGAAAGAUUUAUCGGGGAAGGAUUGGCCCGCGUUGGAUUAGCUAGUUGGUGGGGUAAAGGCCUACCAAGGCGACGAUCCAUAGCUGGUCUGAGAGGAUGAUCAGCCACAUUGGGACUGAGACACGGCCCAAACUCCUACGGGAGGCAGCAGUGGGGAAUAUUGGGAAAUGGGCGCAAGCCUGAUCCAGCCAUGCCGCGUGAGUGAUGAAGGCCUUAGGGUUGUAAAGCUCUUUCACCGAUGAAGAUAAUGACGGUAGUCGGAGAAGAAGCCCCGGCUAACUUCGUG